GAGUAGCCGCCAUGCUCCGAAGGCGCAUCUCGGAAUGCGGCUACGACCUGCCGCUGAGCGCUAGCGAAGGGGCGAUACCAUU
rnacentral:sRNA from 1 species